rnacentral:rRNA from 1 species
UACAUAUUACCGAAGCUGUGGAUUGUCCUUUGGACAAUGGUAGGAGAGCGUUCUAAGGGCGUCGAAGCAUGAUCGCAAGGACAUGUGGAGCGCUUAGAAGUGAGAAUGCCGGUGUGAGUAGCGAAAGACGGGUGAGAAUCCCGUCCACCGAUUGACUAAGGUUUCCAGAGGAAGGCUCGUCCGCUCUGGGUUAGUCGGGUCCUAAGCUGAGGCCGACAGGCGUAGGCGAUGGAUAACAGGUUGAUAUUCCUGUACCACCUAGUAUCGUUUUAAUCGAUGGGGGGACGCAGUAGGAUAGGCGAAGCGUGCUGUUGGAGUGCACGUCCAAGCAGUAAGGCUGAGUGUUAGGCAAAUCCGGCACUCAUAAGGCUGAGCUGUGAUGGGGAGAGGAAAUUGUUUCCUCGAGUCGUUGAUUUCACACUGCCGAGAAAAGCCUCUAGAUAGAUAACAGGUGCCCGUACCGCAAACCGACACAGGUAGUCAAGAUGAGAAUUCUAAGGUGAGCGAGCGAACUCUCGUUAAGGAACUCGGCAAAAUGACCCCGUAACUUCGGGAGAAGGGGUGCUCUUUAGGGUUCACGCCCAGAAGAGCCGCAGUGAAUAGGCCCAAGCGACUGUUUAUCAAAAACACAGGUCUCUGCUAAACCGUAAGGUGAUGUAUAGGGGCUGACGCCUGCCCGGUGCUGGAAGGUUAAGAGGAGUGGUUAGCUUCUGCGAAGCUACGAAUCGAAGCCCCAGUAAACGGCGGCCGUAACUAUAACGGUCCUAAGGUAGCGAAAUUCCUUGUCGGGUAAGUUCCGACCCGCACGAAAGGCGUAACGAUUUGGGCACUGUCUCAACGAGAGACUCGGUGAAAUCAUAGUACCUGUGAAGAUGCAGGUUACCCGCGACAGGACGGAAAGACCCCGUGGAGCUUUACUGUAGCCUGAUAUUGAAAUUCGGCACAGCUUGUACAGGAUAGGUAGGAGCCUUUGAAACGUGAGCGCUAGCUUACGUGGAGGCGUUGGUGGGAUACUACCCUAGCUGUGUUGGCUUUCUAACCCGCACCACUUAUCGUGGUGGGAGACAGUGUCAGGCGGGCAGUUUGACUGGGGCGGUCGCCUCCUAAAAGGUAACGGAGGCGCUCAAAGGUUCCCUCAGAAUGGUUGGAAAUCAUUCAUAGAGUGUAAAGGCAUAAGGGAGCUUGACUGCGAGACCUACAAGUCGAGCAGGGUCGAAAGACGGACUUAGUGAUCCGGUGGUUCCGCAUGGAAGGGCCAUCGCUCAACGGAUAAAAGCUACCCCGGGGAUAACAGGCUAUCUCCC